ACCAUGUCCACAAAUGAGCAGCCACGGAUUGGUGUGUCCCGCGGGUUCCUUGCCUCUCCCAUUCAACCACCGAAGAGGCCGUCCUUUUAGUCCUGUGCUCAUUCGUAUCUUUAGGCCAUCAUUUUUAGUCAUGUGCAUUGUGUGUGAACCAGCUCUGCAGGAAGUCAACGUGCGAGUUCACCUCACCACCUCGAGCAGGAGGCACAACCACAAUGUGGCCGUCACGCGCACCUUAACAACACAACCCUUGGGCCCCGUGCUAGCUGGGCUCCAGAAGUAUCACAAGCUCUCGCAAAUGCAGCCGGCUUCGGGGACUUCUGGCCCUCGGCCUAGACCUUGGUAGGUCAUUAAGCCACCCUCGUCGAGACAAAGGUCGAUCCACCGAUGGGCCCCCUCCKCUCUCUACGGRCGGUCGGGUGCCUUAACAGCAUCGGCAUCGCAAAGGACAUGCUACCUGG
rnacentral:misc_RNA from 1 species